AAACGUUCCAAACGCAACAACCAGUCUAGAAAUUUAUCAAAAAAAUAAUGCUUAAAAUAAUAAUAUAACGCGCUAACGCCAGUGUAUAUCGCCGCUUUGGUCAUCGCUUAGUGAUCUCAAUUAUAAACUCAGUGUACUUAGUUUUAAGGAUAGAAGGAAAAUGGCGAUGCGAGGCUCGCACUUUUCCGGGUGACUCUCCGAUCGAUCCGGUUUUGGAUUUUGAAACUUUUUCCACAUUUUUUGAGAAUGUUCGCGUGGACUUUAGUCGUGAUGGUCGGUUGAGUUCGCGAGUGCAAGGACGCCGUAAAAUCGAUAUCGCCGCGAUGUCGGCGGGUCUGUAGGCCGGUGGGUGGUAGCUUUUAAGCUGUCCAGGUUAAAAGACUGUUGUUCAUGUCAAAAAAAGAAGAAGAGGAGUAGACUAGCUUCGUUUGAAAUGACGACGGAAACGGCGACGCCUAACCAGGCGGACGCCAGUACGGCGUUCCUGCGCGCCGCGCGGGCGGGGCACAUCGACAAGAUCAUCAGCUUGCUCGAGCAGGGCGUCGACAUCAACGUCAGCAAUGCUAACGGCCUCAACGCAAUCCACCUGGCGUCCAAGGAUGGUCAUGUAGCGGUGGUGGGGGAGCUGCUCGAUCGUGGUGCUGCUAUAGAUGCUGCUACCAAGAAAGGCAACACAGCACUGCACAUCGCCUCACUAGCUGGGCAAGAGGCGGUUGUUAAACUUUUGGUGCAGAGUGGUGCUCAGGUGAACAUUCAAUCCCAGAAUGGCUUUACGCCGCUAUAUAUGGCUGCUCAGGAGAACCAUGAUGGUGUUGUCAAGUUCCUCCUCGCCAAUGGAGCUAACCAGAGCCUUGCGACUGAGGACGGGUUCACCCCCCUGGCAGUGGCGAUGCAGCAGGGUCAUGAGAGGGUGGUUUCGGUGCUACUGGAGUCAGAUAUUCGUGGCAAAGUCCGUCUGCCCGCUCUCCAUAUCGCAGCCAAGAAGGACGAUGUCAAAGCUGCAAAUCUGUUACUUGAGAACGAACACAACCCAGAUGUGACCUCCAAGUCUGGCUUCACGCCACUACAUAUAGCGGCCCACUAUGGUAAUGAGAACGUCGCUCGACUCCUGCUGGCUAAAGGAGCUGAUGUCAACUGCGCUGCUAAGCAUAACAUUUGCCCUCUGCAUGUUGCUGCUAAAUGGGGCAAAGAAAACAUGGUGUCUCUUCUAUGCGACAACGGGGCUAAUGUGGAGUCCCGGACCAGGGAUGGACUCACCCCUCUUCAUUGCGCCGCCAGGUCCGGGCAUGAGAGGGUGGUGGAAGCUUUGUUGGAGCGAGGAGCGCCGAUUACUAGCAAGAGCAAGAACGGCCUCGCCCCCCUCCACAUGGCGGCUCAAGGCGACCACGCAGACUCGGCGCGCGUGCUGCUCUCACGCAGAGCACCCGUCGAUGACGUCACUGUCGACUACCUCACCGCACUCCACGUCGCCGCGCAUUGCGGACACGCUAAAGUUGCUAAAUUGCUUUUAGAUAGGAGUGCUGAUGCUAACGCUCGCGCUCUGAACGGCUUCACUCCGCUUCAUAUUGCGUGCAAGAAGAACAGAAUCAAGGUGGUGGAACUACUGAUCAAGUAUGGAGCCAGUAUCCAAGCGACAACGGAGUCAGGCCUAACGCCUCUCCACGUGGCAGCAUUCAUGGGCUGCAUGAACAUCGUCAUCUUCUUACUCCAGCAUGAGGCCAACCCUGACGUGCCCACUGUCCGCGGGGAGACGCCUCUCCAUUUGGCUGCUAGGGCUAACCAGACGGACAUAAUCCGCAUUCUACUCCGCAACGGCGCGGCGGUGGAAGCCAAGGCUCGGGAGCGGCAGACUCCCCUGCAUAUCGCCUCACGACUUGGCAACGUCGACAUUGCAGUGCUUCUGCUCCAACACGGGGCUGACGUCAGAGCGAUGACGGCUGAUCAUUACAACGCGCUGCAUAUCGCUGCUAAACAGCACAACCAUGAUGUUGCAGCGGCUUUGAUAGAGCAUAAUGCUCCCCUGACAGCGACUACUAAGAAAGGAUUCACAGCAUUACAUCUGGCUGCUAAAUAUGGAAAUCUAAAGGUGGCAAACUUACUGCUAGCUCACGGUGCGUCACCAGACCAAGCUGGCAAGAACGGCAUGACUCCUCUGCACAUUGCAGCUCAGUAUGACCAACAGGCUGUGGCUAGUACUCUCCUUGAGAAAGGAGCUGAUGCUAAGGCUGUGGCUAAGAAUGGCCACACUCCACUCCACAUAGCGGCUCGCAAGAAUCAGAUGGAGACAGCUGCUACUCUACUGGAGUAUGGGGCUCUUACCAACGCUGAAUCUAAGGCUGGCUUUACUCCAUUGCAUCUAGCUGCACAGCAGGGUCACACAGAAAUGUGCUCCCUUUUGGUUGAGCAUGGAGCUGAGGUGGACCAGCAAGCUAAGAAUGGACUGGCAGCAUUACACCUCGCUGCUCAAGAAGACAGAGUACCAGUUGCCCAACUACUGGUCAAAAAUGGAGCUGAGGUGGACAUUUGCACCAAAGGUGGUUACACUCCGCUUCACAUUGCCAGUCACUACGGACAAGCUAAUAUGGUUCGCUUCUUACUUGACAGCGGAGCUUCUGUCAAGGCUCAGACUACUCACGGAUAUACAGCACUGCAUCAUGCCGCUCAACAGGGACACAUCAAUAUCGUCAACAUUUUGCUAGAGAACAAGGCUGAUGCCAACGCUACUACCACGAAUGGACAAACUCCCCUGGACAUCGCGUCUAAGCUGGGGUAUGUGACGGUGAUGGAAACUCUGAAAGAUGUCUCCGAGCCAUCCAUCGCUCCCGUCAGUCAGGAGAAAUAUAAGGUCGUGGCUCCAGAGACUAUGCUUGAGACGUUCAUGUCUGAUUCUGAGGAGGAAGGAGGUGAAGACACUAUCCUGAACGACCAGCCGUACCGGUAUCUGACAGCUGAUGACAUGAAAUCUCUCGGUGAUGACUCGUUGCCAAUUGAUGUGACCAAGGAUGAGAGGACUGAGUCUGCGAUGAGCCAUAAGAAUAUUAUGGAAUUGUCUCAAACUUCAGUGAAUGGUAUGCCCUACCAGCCACAACAAGAGGUGGUGGUGAAGAGUAUCAGCCGAUACAGCACCGCGCCUGCGCCGGAGGGAUACUGCUACAAUGUCGACCCUACAGUGCCCAAAAUAGUGACAGUAAUUUUCUAAUCUCACUGCUUGUUACGCACGCUCUCUGGAUAUGGAUUCAUAGAAAAAAGCUACAAUGGAAAAAUUUCCUGGUAUCGUUCCUCGUGGACGCGCGUGGUGGAGCCAUGCGGGGCUGCCGCGGUGGUGGAGUGAGGGUCAUCGUACCACCACUGUCUG
rnacentral:misc_RNA from 1 species